rnacentral:rRNA from 1 species
UACGUAGGGUGCAAGCGUUGUCCGGAAUUAUUGGGCGUAAAGAGCUCGUAGGCGGCUUGUCACGUCGGAUGUGAAAGCCCGGGGCUUAACCCCGGGUCUGCAUUCGAUACGGGCAGGCUGGAGUGUGGUAGGGGAGAUCGGAAUUCCUGGUGUAGCGGUGAAAUGCGCAGAUAUCAGGAGGAACACCGGUGGCGAAGGCGGAUCUCUGGGCCAUUACUGACGCUGAGGAGCGAAAGCGUGGGGAGCGAACAGG